CAUUACGGGAGGCAGCAGUGGGGUAUAUUGCACAAUGUGCGCAAGCCUGAUGCAGCGACGCCGCGUGAGGGAUGACGGCCUUCGGGUUGUAAACCUCUUUCAGCAGGGAAGAAGCGUGAGUGACGGUACCUGCAGAAGAAGCACCGGCUAACUACGUGCCAGCAGCCGCGGUAAAACGUAGGAGGCGAGCGUUAUCCGGAUUUACUGGGCGUAAAGGGCGUGCAGGUGGCUGAAUAAGUGGUGUGUGAAAGCGCUCGGCUCAACCGGGCGAGGGCGUGCCAAACUGUUCAACUAGAAACAGGCAGAGGAAAGUGGAAUUCGGGGUGUAGUGGUGAAAUGCGUAGAGAUCCCGAGGAACUCCUGUGGCGAAGGCGACUUUCUGGGCCUGCUUUGACACUCAGACGCGAAAGCAUGGGGAGCGCCACGGGAUUAGAAACCCCGGUAGUCCAUGCCGUAAACGAUGUCCACUGGGCGUUUGCCCCGCAAGGGGUGAGUGCCGCAGCCAACGCGCUAAGUGGACCGCCUGGGGAUGUACGACCGCCAAGGUUAAAACUCAAAGGAAUUG
rnacentral:rRNA from 1 species